rnacentral:rRNA from 1 species
AACGCGAAGAACCUUACCUGGGCUCGAAAUUUUGUUGACAGUCUCAGAGAUGAGAUUUUCCCGCAAGGGACAGCAGAAUAGGUGCUGCAUGGCUGUCGUCAGCUCGUGUCGUGAGAUGUUGGGUUAAGUCCCGCAACGAGCGCAACCCUCACCCUUAGUUGCUCGUCCGCAAGGAAAGCACCCUAAGGGAACUGCCUCGGAUAACGGGGAGGAAGGUGGGGAUGACGUCAAGUCCUCAUGGCCUUUAUGUCCAGGGCUACACACGUGCUACAAUGGCCGGUACAAACCGUCGCUAACCCGCGAGGGGGAGCCAAUCGGAAAAAACCGGUCUCAGUUCGGAUUGCAGGCUGCAACUCGCCUGCAUGAAGCUGGAAUCGCUAGUAAUCACGUAUCAGAACGACGUGGUGAAUACGUUCCCGGGCCUUGUACACACCGCUGUA